AAUAACCGAAGAUUGUGGCUGGGUUCAGUGUGGGGUUGGUAAUGACGCGAACAUCACCACCGCCAGGUGCCCAGGUGUCGUAUACACCACCAAAGAACAUUGCCUUCAACACCAACAGAAGCGCACCGCAUCCUAAGAUGAUCAGGUGGAAUCCGAUGAUGUUGGUCAUCUUGUUCUUAUCUUUCCA
rnacentral:antisense_RNA from 1 species